CUUCUACUCUCUCGGUCCAACAAAAGAUGUCUCAAGUUUGUCAAAAUUUGGAUGGAUCUAAACAUGACUUAGUGUAUAGAUGCAUUUAAAUUUAGUCAAUGUUAAAACAUUCUUUGUUGAACGGAGGAAGUGAAUA
rnacentral:pre_miRNA from 1 species